UCAGAUUUAAUUUUAGUACAUCCGACCAACCCUGAGAAGACAAAACUGAUUUUUCUUUUGACGGAAAAGACAAAUUUGAUUUGACUUCACUACAUCCGAUCAAAUUCUGACAGCUACCUAUUUAGACCCGUACACAGCCCAUCAUGCAACACCCUUCUCCGAUCUACAUGAAAUCAGGACAUGCAAUACAUGCCCAAAGUUUAGAACAUUCUAUUUUGCUGUCUAGCCACAAUCUAUAUGAACUUAGCUGGAACAGGCUACAGAAUAUUCGCACAUACAAUGGAACCAAAGAAAAAAAACAUAGCUAGAUUAAAAAUAUGUAACUGAAGAAACAAAGAAAUACCGGACGGCAACACAGACACACAUGGCCACAAGAAGCGGAGCUUCCACCGGAACUGAUAGUGCGAGGAGCGCACUCCUCUGCCUCGCCCUCGGCCUCCGGGUGCAACCUGAUCCACCCCUCUAUGUCUCUACCAGAUGGCGACGGCCGAACUGCACGGUGAGACAGAGCAGGCAGCAACCGCACGGCGCCCCUCGACGCGUAGAACCGUGAUGCUCCAGCGGAACGCUCAAUCUGGGAGAGGAGGAGGAGUGUAGGAAGAGAGAGGGUCGAGAGAUUGUCCCUCCAUGAAUGCCUGCUCUCCUUACUGGACUUGUGAGGCAUCGCCUCGACAAAAGAAACAAGGGAGAGAUGUCCCCCUCAUAGCCCCUGCAUCAGCGCGCAUGUGCUCCAGCUCCGGCCCUGACAUGCAGUGAAGGAAAGUCCGGUCUGAGAUGCAACGUCUUCCGUCAGAUACAUCACCCGGCCCAGCCUCGUCGACGCGCCAAGCACGUCUGUAGAACGACAAAGUUGUGAUCGGAGCACCGAUUAGCUUCACGAUAUCAAGACAGUCGCAAAAGAAAUACAAAUACCUGCGAUCUGCGAACAGAAGUUAGACGUCGAAGUCGAGGGCGCGGCGGCGAUGGCCGGCAUCCUCGUACUUGCGUACGCUCUCGUGCGAGGCGUCACCGUCAUCGAAGCAGAGCGCCACCAUCGACUCCGGCAGUUGCGCUACCGCAUCUGCGUUUAGCCAAGCGCAUGUAAGAUCGCGGCGCUGCAGCACAAUCUCGUCCAGUCCAGUCGGUGGUCCAUGUCGCCGCACCUCCGCAUGUGCUCUGGCGGUGUCAGCGACCGACAAUCGUACACACCCGUCGUGCUGCCGCCGCCGUUCUUCGAGUCGCCAUGGAAGGCCACAGAUAGUAGGAUCCUUCGACUGCAUGAACCGAAGCACGAACAUCACACACAGGCACAAACAGCCCAAUCGCAGGCGACACACCGCGAACUCCGCUAGGCCGCGCAGCGCCGCAAUCACAUGUGAGUUGUGCCGAUGCCCACCAGAACGGGCCACGUGCACCGCUGCGACACACUAUGUGAGCCCCUCCAUGGCCUCGUGCUCCCGCCACAGUGUCGCCCGAGCGGCCGUGCCCCGCGCUGGCCGUCGCCCUAGCUGGGGAGCGCGAGCUCUGAUGCCACGCCGCGCCCCCGGGAGCUCACUAACCGCUGUCCGCCAGCGCCACCACUUCAGACCACAUAGGCCGGAGGCCUCCUGCAACUGCAACCUCCAUUCGUUGUUGCGCCUGCAGCUAGCGACGUGCCUCCUGCCCCAGAUCGACGCCCAGGCAGAGAAGAAGACGCACACAAUAGAAAGAAGGGAAGAAGGCCUCGCUGGUGAAACUCACCUCGCAAAGGCCUCCGCUCCGAAGGCCUCCCCGAGAAGACAGGCAAGAAUGUGAGACCGGAACACCUUCCGAAGGUACACGCUGGUCCGGCAAAACACCGGAAGCAGCAGCACGGCCAGAACCACCGCGCCGGCCAACUAAAGCCCACCGCUAGCGAGGAGGCCGACCGGGACGACGCGAUCGAUUACGACCGGACGAAGAGGCGACCAUGGAAUUAAUGUAUCAGACACCGAUGAAGA
rnacentral:lncRNA from 1 species